rnacentral:rRNA from 1 species
GAUGAACGCUGGCGGCGUGCCUAAUACAUGCGAGUCGAGCGGACGGACGAGAAGCUUGCUUCUCUGAUGUUAGCGGCGGACGGGUGAGUAACACGUGGAUAACCUACCUAUAAGACUGGGAUAACUUCGGGAAACCGGAGCUAAUACCGGAUGAUAUUUUGAACCGCAUGGUUCAAAAGUGAAAGACGGUCUUGCUGUCACUUAUAGAUGGAUCCGCGCUGCAUUAGCUAGUUGGUAAGGUAACGGCUUACCAAGGCAACGAUGCAUAGCCGACCUGAGAGGGUGAUCGGCCACACUGGAACUGAGACACGGUCCAGACUCCUACGGGAGGCAGCAGUAGGGAAUCUUCGGCAAUGGGCGAAAGCCUGACGGAGCAACGCCGCGUGAGUGAUGAAGGUCUUCGGAUCGUAAAACUCUGUUAUUAGGGAAGAACAUAUGUGUACGUAACUGUGGACAUCUUGACGGUACCUAAUCAGAAAGCCACGGCUAACUACGUG